GCAUAGCUUAGUGGUAGAGUAUUUGCUUUGCAUACAAAAUGUCCCAGGUUCAAACUAUGGCAUCUCUGGGUGGGGCU